rnacentral:rRNA from 1 species
UAGGGAAUCUUCCGCAAUGGGCGAAAGCCUGACGGAGCAACGCCGCGUGAGUGAUGAAGGUCUUCGGAUCGUAAAACUCUGUUAUUAGGGAAGAACAAAUGUGUAAGUAACUAUGCACGUCUUGACGGUACCUAAUCAGAAAGCCACGGCUAACUACGUGCCAGCAGCCGCGGUAAUACGUAGGUGGCAAGCGUUAUCCGGAAUUAUUGGGCGUAAAGCGCGCGUAGGCGGUUUUUUAAGUCUGAUGUGAAAGCCCACGGCUCAACCGUGGAGGGUCAUUGGAAACUGGAAAACUUGAGUGCAGAAGAGGAAAGUGGAAUUCCAUGGGUAGCAGUGAAAUGCGCAGAGAUAUGGAGGAACACCAGUGGCGAAGGCGACUUUCUGGUCUGUAACUGACGCUGAUGUGCGAAAGCGUGGGGAUCAAACAGG